UGAGCUGAUUUUUGAUGGGAAUCUGUGAAAUAUUCAAGUCCUUUGCAUGUUUUGUCUCUUCUUCUAGGUGUAGCUAUGACUGACUGCAUUUUCAUUAGAGUGGAGGAUCAGAUGCCUCUUGUUUACAGCUUGUGUAAAAUUUCCUGCCCAGAUACCUCCAAAAAAAAAAACAACAACAACAACAAAACCCCACCUUAUUUCAGCUAAUUUUUUGAGAUAUAAGCCUGAUGUCCAUGCAGCCUUUGAUCCAGUGGACCUAUUAAAUACAGUCCUGCACAGGAAGAUUCCUUUACAAAGAUAUUUGGCAAUGGGACAACUGUGUGUGUAUCUCUCUUUUUAUCCAUCCAUCUAUCCAUCCAUCUAUCUACCCACCACGAAUGUAUGUGCUUUUCGUGUAUCUGUUUAUGUUUUUGACUCACCAUGGUUUGAUAUGCAUAAAGACUGUAAGCUCCCUGAAGGGCAGGGCUGUGCUCCACUGCUGUUUUUGUUAACCCUGUAACACCUAGAGGAAGGCUCUCAAGAAAGAAAGCAUCAGCUUAUAAUCAUAUCAACAUUAGAUUCCUGAAGAUGUCUGUCCACUGACCUGUGGUUUAUAUACUUAUCUGUUUGGGUAGAUUGGGUGGGUUUCAGGCAUUGUUGUAGAGAUGCUGAAUUUGAUCCUCAUAGAGAGUGAGCGAUUUACGAUUCCCUCUUCGUCUUUCACCCCAUCCAUUUCCUGCAUCCCACAGCUGGACACUUAAUGUUGAGAGGAAGCGGUGUCGUCACCCUGCAAGUCUGGCAGAGCGAAGUGCUGCUGAUAGACGGUAUGUUUGGAUUCGUGGGUUGGGUAAGCAACGCUGGAUAGAAGUCUUCCCACGGAGCACAGGACUUCUCCAUCACCACUGGUACCUGGCCUGUGGGACCAGAGGGUGUAUCAAACUUCACUGGACACAACAGAGAGCAAACAUCAGUGGGAUUGAAAAUGAGGUUUCCAAAUGAACAGCGCAGUGGACACCAUGGUGCCUUCAGCGUUUCUAAGUUUUUAAAUUUGGUUCAGCCCUAAAGUUGCUGGACCCAUCUUUGCCUAACUUUCACCUGAUCCUGGGCAUUGGAGAUAGCGGAAAGUUGCAUGGAAAAGGGACCAACUAUGACAAACUUGACUCACUGGACACAUGCUAUCUUUGUCUGACAACUCAUAACAAAACUUUCCUGUCUCCAAGAGUCACAGUGGGAAGCUUAACAUUUACUUCAAGUAUUCUGGGAUGGACAUUUUAAUGGUUUGGCUUGUCCUUGGCAUUGUGCUAUGUGCUGAUACCAUCUCAUCUGAUUCAACAAGCAGUUUAUUGUGCAUAUACUACAUGCCAAGUGAUGGUGCAGAUGCUGAAAAGAGAGUGGAACCUGAGACAGGCACAAUCUCAGCCCCUGAGUAAUGAGAGCAGAUGACAAGAAGGGAAUGACCCUGUCAUUAAUGUGAUGAAAGAAUGGUCCCCUGAGACAAAAAUAGCUUUUCUAGAGGGUUAAGCCUUCUAGAACUUUCUGGUUACCUUAGAUUGCUCAAACUUCUUUGUGCUUUUACAGGUUGUUUCUGGGCUUGGGAGUUCUGAAAUAUUGUGAAAGCAACCUUGAAGAGGGUGUGGCGGGUACUGUGCUGAAAUCUAGAUACCAAUCAAAGGAAGGUCUUAUACUAGAACCUUCCUUAAUUCAGAUAUUUUGUAUCCAUUUUGAGGAUAUAACUUGUAUCACAUAUAUGAUCAUUUCCAUUAUAUUAAUAUAAUAGUAGUAUGUGAACAUUUGAUCAUGUUUAAAAUGAUCCAGCUAGAGGCUGGGGUUAUGGCUCAGUGGUAGAGCACUUGCCUCACAUGUGCAAGGCACUGGGUUUGAUCCUCAGCACCACAUAAAAAUAAAAAAAUAAAAUAAAGGCA
rnacentral:lncRNA from 1 species